UAACUUGGGAAUUGCAUCUGAAACUGGUUGGCUAGAGUCUUGUAGAGGGGGGUAGAAUUCCAUGUGUAGCGGUGAAAUGCGUAGAGAUGUGGAGGAAUACCGGUGGCGAAGGCGGCCCCCUGGACAAAGACUGACGCUCAGGUGCGAAAGCGUGGGGAGCAAACAGGAUUAGAUACCCUGGUAGUCCACGCUGUAAACGAUGUCGAUUUAGAGGUUGUGGUCUUGAACCGUGGCUUCUGGAGCUAACGCGUUAAAUCGACCGCCUGGGGAGUACGGCCGCAAGGUUAAA
rnacentral:rRNA from 1 species